GACGAACGCUGGCGGCGUGCUUAACACAUGCAAGUCGAGCGGUAAGGCCCUUUCGGGGGUACGACGAGCGGCGAACGGGUGAGUAACACGUGGGUGACCUGCCCUCAGCUCUGGGAUAAGCCUGGGAAACCGGGUCUAAUACUGGAUAUGACUCCAUGACGCAUGUUGUGGGGUGGAAAGCCUUGUGCGGCUGAGGAUGGGCCCGCGGCCUAUCAGCUUGUUGGUGGGGUGAANGGCCUACCAAGGCGACGACGGGUAGCCGGCCUGAGAGGGCGACCGGCCACACUGGGACUGAGACACGGCCCAGACUCCUACGGGAGGCAGCAGUGGGGAAUCUUGCGCAAUGGGCGAAGGCCUGACGCAGCGACGCCGCGUGAGGGAUGACGGCCUGGUGUAA
rnacentral:rRNA from 1 species